GAAAUAUAACUAAAUUAAGCUGCUAACUUAAUUUUUAGUGGUUAAAUUCCAUUAAUAUUUCU
rnacentral:tRNA from 1 species